CAGCAGCCGCGGGAACACGUAGGCAGCAAGCGUUGUUCGGAGUUACUGGGCGUAAAGGGUGCGUAGGCGGUCCUAUAAGUAUGGAGUGAAAUCUCCCGGCUUAACUGGGAGGGUGCGCUAUAGACUGUGGGACUAGAGUGUGGGAGAGGAAAGUGGAAUUCCUGGUGUAGCGGUGAAAUGCGUAGAUAUCAGGAGGAACACCGGUGGUGUAAACGGCUUUCUGGACCAUAACUGACGCUGAGGCACGAAAGCGUGGGUAGCAAACAGGAUUAGAUACCCGAGUAGUCCCUGUCUCUUAUAC
rnacentral:rRNA from 1 species